rnacentral:rRNA from 1 species
UACGUAGGGAGCGAGCGUUGUCCGGAAUCAUUGGGCGUAAAGAGCGCGUAGGUGGAUCAAUUAGUCUGCUGUGAAAGUCAAAGGCUCAACCUUUGAAAGCCGGUGGAUACUGUUGAUCUAGAGUACGGAAGAGGCGAGUGGAAUUCCUGGUGUAGCGGUGAAAUGCGUAGAUAUCGAGAGGAACACCGGUGGCGAAGGCGGCCUCUGGACAGCAACU